rnacentral:rRNA from 1 species
AUUGAACGCUGGCGGCAGGCCUAACACAUGCAAGUCGAGCGAGCGGCGGACGGGAGACUUAUGUAUGGGGAUCUGAGUGAUGGAGGGGGAUAACUAAUGGAAGCGGUUGCUACUACCGCAUUGCAUCAGAUGAACCCAUAUGGGAUUAGAUUGUAGGUGAGGUAACGGCACACCUAGGCGACGAUCCCUAGCUGGUCUGAGAGGAUGAUCAGCCACACUGGGACUGAGACACGGCCCAGACUCCUACGGGAGGCAGCAGUGGGGAAUAUUGCACAAUGGGCGCAAGCCUGAUGCAGCCAUGCCGCGUGUAUGAAGAAGGCCUUCGGGUUGUAAAGUACUUUCAGUCGGGAGGCGUUACCGACAGAAGAAGCACCGGCUAACUCCGUGCCAGCAGCCGCGGUAAUUC